CGUGCUCUGGUGGGAGAGGGAGCGUGGGGCUGGGGGAUUGAAUAACCACGAGGAAGGAAAUGCUUUAAAGUCAUUUUUAGUUCUUUGGCAUUUUGUGUCCCUUUGAAUGUGCCUGUGCUUCCAGCAUAGCUCCUGCUUGGGUGUGCCUGGGAGCUAUUUAUACAGAGGGGCUGAUAAACCAGCUCAGGAAGUGGUGGGCAGAAGUGCUGGAGGAUUCCACAUCCUCUGCUUUAUUGAAUCACAAAUAACUUUACAGCAGCUGAAGCUGUCAGGCUCUGAGGGCUGAUCUCAGCUGUGGAGAGCAUCACAGCCCUGUCAGAAGCUGAACCUGUUUAGAUCAGCUGAGGUGUAGUUGAAUCACACCCUUGACUUCCAUUUAGUAUCAACUCUAUGGAAAUCUCAAUGGCCUAAAUUUCAAAAAAUUGAUUGAUAUUGAGAAUUCCCAAUUUCUGGGUUCAUCACUGGAACCUUCCUGGACUUCCCAGAUUUCAUGUUCUGUGAUCACAUAUCACUUUAAGGGCAGCAGUUGGACUGAGGCAAAUCUUAGGUGUAUUACACUGAGAAAAUCCAGAUGAAAUCACUUAAAGCAGUAAUACUUGGAUUCGAUUCUGGGCUUUAGUUUGUCCACAGUCACUUCUCUAGAGGUCGCACACCUUACCAAGAAAAGGGAUUUUUGUAUCUGAGAGUCUUUGACAUCCUCUGAUGGGAGACACUAUGCAAGUGCAGGUGUAAGGUAGUAACCCUGAAAUAGUGGUGGCUUUAAUAGCAGUUUUGAAAUAAGGGUUUUGAGUUUAUACAGCGUUACAAGCAGUUAUAAGAGCAGCAUCUUCCAAGAUUAGAUGUGGUUUAUGCUAUUUUAGAGAUGGCUCCUGUGAUUAAAUGAUACAUAUCUUCCUGCUAACUGGUGUUAGCCCAAUCUCAGCAUCCAGUGGGUUUCCAGCCUUACCUCUUGUCCAUGGAGCUCCAGCUAACUGGAGAAAUUUGCCUUCACAAGUGCAGCUUUCCCCUGUCCUUACUGACCAUUUGCUGCCAACAACUUGGAGAUCCAGAGAGUCACAGAAUCACAGGAUCCUGAGUUGGAAGGGACCCACCAGGAUCAUCAUGUCCAGCUGCUGGCCCUGCACAGGACGCUCCAACAAUCCCCUUGUGCCUCAGAAUAUUGCCCAAAUGCCAGUUGAGCUCAGACAGGCUUGGUGCUGUGACUGUUCCUUGGGGAGCCUGUUCCAGCACCUCUGGGUGAAGAACCUUUAUCCCUGGAAUCUGAGGACUUCCUGCAUAACUGAACAGCCAAAAGAGGUUUUACCACUCUCUGCAGGAGCUGUAGGGUAGAGACUCUGGAUUCAAAAGCUCUGAUUCAGUGCCCAAGCCUGCAUCCUUGUUCCAGCUGUGCCUCCUGAGCUGUUGGUGUGCAGGGGUGUUGGGUGUCCCCAUGUCCCGUGUCACAUCAGUCCCUGUGUGCCAUCUUUCCCCUGACCCCAGCAGGGAACUGCUGCUCUACACAGGCUUAGCAGGAGGCUCUUCUCUCACAGGCCAAGUUGUUGCAGUGCUGAAUGAACAAACAACCUUGUUUGUUGCAGCUUUUCUUUCUUAAGGCCUAUUUAAAAAUAAAAAAAACAAAAAAAAAUCCAAAACCCACUUCAAGUCAUCAGUGGGAAUUUGGCUCUUUAGGUCUGUUGUAGUUUGGCACGUGGGAGUUUGCUCUCCCUCUUCCUUCUUGGGCUUCUUCACAGUUACUGUUUGCGUGUGUUGGAUGUUCCUCUCCUCCCAGGAUGGAAAUGUGUUGGCUCUGGGCCGUGGGUCUGUGCUGCAAUUGCAGCUCCAGCUGAUGCUGCACCUGGUCACUGUCCAUUUAACAGAGCUAAUCCCAGGUUAUCUCUCCCUGGAGAAUUCCAGACUGGAUUUACCAGGGCCUUGCCCUGCAAUGAGCAUUUUGGGCAUCAGCUGAGAAGUGGCCUCGCAGCUGCUCAGAACUGUGAGAGGAAAAGUCUUGGAACGCCCAGUACCCAACGUGACCUGUUCCACUUCCUGCCCCCAAACCCCCUGUUGGUAGAAAACCUUUUCACAGCUCUUGCAGGAUUCCCUGGCUAAGGGAGCUGGGUUUAUCCUGUUUCCCUUGCUCCCCUUUUCCCUGGAGGUCCCAGAAGGAGCAAUACCUCAGGGCUGAUCUGGGCCAGGUGCCAGGCUGGCUGAAAUAACAGGAGUGUGUUCAGCUCUCUGUGCACCUCCCUUCUCUGCUCAUCUGUUCCAGGGGGAGUGUGAGUGGGGAUUAGGCCAGCAGCCUGUGGUACACCUAGAGCCACCUUUGAGCAUGGCUUCACUCCUCUGGUCUAAUUAGCACCACCCAGCCCAGCUUUGAAAGCCUCUCCCACCACUCGAGUUCACACAGGUCAGCUAACCAAGUUAGAAAACCUGGUAGUUUGUACUGCCAGAAUCCUGACCUCCAUGGAAAGCCUGGAUCUUCCACAAGGCAGCUCAGAACUUCCACACCUCACUUGGUGCUCUGUGACAUCUUCUGAAGCAUCUUUUCUCUAGUCGGUGUUGGGGAUUAUGUGGCUUUGCUGUGAAAAGCUCUGAGGAUUGUUCUAACCUAAGAGCCUUCAGCAAUUACUGCUUUUCACAACUGGACGGUGAAAAGCAGUGUCCUCCAAAUCUGAUUAAAUGGAAUACCUCAGAGCAAUUAGGAGCCUUGCUCUGCCUUCUUUGUUGGAUAAGCUCCCAGAAUUAGAAGCCAGAGGCUCCCUGCUGAAGGGAUCACUGGAGCCUGUCAGGCUGCAGCUGGAGAUGCCCUGAGCUUUCCUCCCUGGCCUCCAGCUAUUUCUCUGGAGGGGAACAGAUCUGUUUUGGGUUCUGCAUCACAUCUCCCAGUCCCAUGUGGGUGUCUGGGGUAGCCACUCUGCUGUGGGGGCAGUACCACAGAUCUCCCUUGGUGGAAUCUUAGAUCCCUGCUCUCAGGUAGGCAAAUAAAUUUGAGUGCUUUAAUUUAGAUUGGUGACUUGAUUUUAUGGUAAUUCAAUCAGCCCCAUAACCAAUAAAGCUCUGUAUCCACACCUCCCAGGAGCUGAAGAAAAAUGGGAUUGUGUGAGGCACAGGGAGUUGUCUUCCAUAGCUUCACAAGUGGAAAUCUGCAGCAUGAAGAUAUGUGUCCUCCUGUUUUAGUGAAGGCCAACAUCCUUUUUUUAGCCAUUUAAUCUCUCUUUGGAUGUUGGAAACUGAGAAGUUUCCACAUCUGUGUUGUUACUUUUAUCUGUGGACAAAGACACAUUUACCCUGUUUAAAAGCAGAAUGAGAAAGUCCAGUGAAGUAUGUUCCUUGAAGGUCUGUGGCUCUCAGUCUUUGUAGUUUCUGUCUUCAAACAACAGCUCAGAAUCAGAGCUUUUGCUACGUGCUCCUGUCUGACCUUCAACCAAAUUUCCCCUCUGGGUCUCCUGGUUUUCCUCUUGGAAACAGCUGCUUGCAUUAAAAAGUGCAGAAAUGCAGAGUGCAGGGGCACAGUAGCUGCACAGUGGACACUUGGGUCUUGCUGAUGUGGCCUGAUGUGCUGGAGAGCCUGGAAGGAGCUCAUGGGAAUGGAUGUGGACAUGGAAAUGUGCACCAGCUACGGAAGAGGCAUCACCAGGCUACUGCAGAGAUUCCUUUUAUUUGAAAACCCCUGGUGUGCUGUUUUUGUGCAGCGCUCUGGGGUGGGUGCCUGCUCAGCCCUGCCUGGGGAGUGUUCUCUGACAGCUUCCAUGGUGUGUUCUCCUGGGCUUUCCCACAGCCCUCAAAAAUAAAACACGAUAACUUAUUUCCUUGACACAUCUGAGAGCUCCCAGUUCUCAGACUCCCUUGGGCUUUCCACUUCCAGGCAUUCCUGCUUUGAAGAGUCUUGCAGGAACAAAUUUUAGAGGCCUUUGUUAUGUAAAGCUGUUGCUCCUGAAACAACAUUGCUUUGUAGGAUGUGUUUUAUUUGUGGGAUGUAUUUAUUUGCUAGUCUGUGCCGUAUUUUGAUCUGGGGUCUGGUUUUAAAGUGUUCACAGAGUACUCUGGGCAGGCCAUGCAGGAGUCUCUGUUCCCUUAUUCCAUAGCUCUGGCUGACAGGAUACUCCUAAAAGCAGAAGCUGAACCAGGACCUGCUCUUGAUGUUAAGGAGCUGAAGGCACUGCUGGAUAAUAGUUUAUAAGGACUAAAUAAUGCAUUGCUCGACCAAUGUUUACAUUUGGGUGUGUCCCUCUAAGCUGGGAUGAAGAAAGUGGAGGUAUUUGGUUUGUCUCAUGGCAGACUGAACAUCUUAAGUUGUCACAGAGUCUGAAGCAGGCAUAGGAUGUGAACAUCUCAAAACUCCUACUUUUUGAACUUUUGGAAUCACAGAAUUACUUAAGUUGGAAAAGCCCUUUAAGAUCAUCGAUCCCAACCAUUCCCCCAGCACUGCCAAGGCCACCACUACCCCGUGUCCCCAGGUUCCACAUCCUCAUGGCUUUUAAAUCCCUCCAGGGAUGGGAGCUCCCAACACUGCCCUGGGCAGCUCUGCCAGGGCUGGACAACCCUUUCCAUGAAGAAUCCUAGAAUGGUUGGGGUUGGAAGGGACCUUCAUGAUCAUCCAGUUCCCCUUGCUGUGGAAGAUUUCAACUCAACCCAAGUAGCUGAACCUUGCCUGGAUACAUGAUGUUGCCUUAAGGGUGGAUCUUGGCUCCUGCAGAGGGAAUUUCUCUUCAUUGGAAUUCUCCAUGUCCUUCCUCCUGUUCCUCUCCUGACAUGCCAGAUACAAUCAUGAGACUCCAACAAAAGCAGAGACACUGAGAUGAUCCAAAACCAGCCUAGCAGGAGGAUCUCCAAAGUGUGACUCUUGUAGCUGAGGCUCUUGUGCCACCAGCUGGUGGCCUGCAGUCCUGGAUCUCAUGUUCUCCAAGGUCUUUGGGAUGGGGACAGUGGCUGAUGAUGACCCUGUCGUGGGUGCAUUCUUCAUCUCUAGGUCCUACACCCUCUUAGCAGUGGAAAUCCUACAGCGAUCUAGAAAUCCCACUUCAGCCUCAAAAACCUGCUUUCCAUGCCUUGUGCGUUAAAUAAACAGUCUCCUGGAUUGUA